ensembl:snoRNA SNORD61 small nucleolar RNA, C/D box 61
GCAAUGAUGAAAAUGGUGGUUUGAAUACAGAAAUGAGAAUACUACCUCUAAGAAGUCCUGAGCUU